AACGCACAUUGCGCCCGCUAGUAUUCUGGCGGGCAUGCCUGUUCGAGCGUCAUUUCAACCAUCAAGCCCCUGUGCUUGUGUUGGAGCCCUGCGGCUGCCGCAGGCUCCCAAACCCAGUGGCGGGCUCGUCGUCGUACCGAGUGCAGUAAAUUUACCACGCUCAGGGCGCGCGACGGGUGACCGGCCGUAAAACCCCCCAACUUAUCAAGGUUGACCUCGGAUCAGGUAGGAAUACCCGCUGAACUUAA
rnacentral:misc_RNA from 1 species